UUGAUAUAAAGGUGACUUUUGAUUUUGGAGAUUACGUUAGCAUACAGGCACAUGCAUGUAUUGGAGGCAAAAGCGAGGGUGAAGAUAUCAGAAAGCUAGAGCAUGGAGUACAAGUAGUCUCUGGAACUCCUGGAAGAGUUUGUGACAUGACUAAAAAGAGAACUUUACGAGCUAGGUCCAUAAAAUAAUUGAUUCUUAAUGAAUCUGACGAGAUGUUGAACUGUAGUUUUAACAACCAGAUAUAUGAUGUUUACAGAUAUCUUCCACGAGAGCUUCAGCUUGAAUCAAAAUGAUCGUGGAAUUCAUGAAAUUGAAGCCUAAGGUACAAUUAGAAUCUCAGUACUCUCGCUUGAGUUCUAUGUUAAUAACUUUGUUACUCUCUAUUUUUUGUCAACAGUGCUUGUACGGAGUAAAUUAAAUUGACUAACAUCUUUAUUGUUUACCUGAUUCUGAUAUGAAUAUCUUCCGUACUUCCUAUAUUUUAACAUAAAUUACACACAUGUGUUGACAAUCAUGCUCUUGUGGAAUGUCAUGAAACUUUAUCCAUUGUUUCCAUAAUGUUGGUGGAGAUUUUGAAUAGGCAAACUUGGAUGUAACAUUGCGAAGAUAAAGGAUUACAAAGAUGGAUGCGUUUCUUAGGUAUGUUGAUGAUUCUGUCUAUGAUAGACAGCUUGAAUGAAUUAAGUCAGAACGUUGAAUUCCUACAAGAUGCUGGAAGCAAAUUCUGAAAGGUCCAUUAGUUUUUGUUAUCUUUCAUUUGAACUUAAUAAUGUAUUGAACAAUAUAUUGAAACUUUCAUCUUUCAUAAAAGAAUAUUCUGAUCUAUAUGUUCUUGUAGAUUUCUAAGCUGCUCAGUCAUUUGAACAACAUGGGAUUCUUGAUUACCAACAUCUGCUUGUACCAUCUCGUAAUUUUUCUCCCAAAAUAAAGUAGAGUCAUCACCAGCAUAUAUAAGUUUCUCAUGAGUUGGUACUCUAUUACAAUUAUUGCUUGUGUUCUUCACCUUUCAUUUUAUUGUUCUGCUCGCCAACCUUAGGUGCUUCCAUAUGGUGACUCUUCCUCUAGCCUCUCAUUCCAUGUAUUAUCAAAGGACUACCAGUUAUAGUAUAACAUAACGUCCUAGACAACAAAUCAUUAGGAAGGAAGACAUUUUUCUCUAAGUUGUGUUGUUUACAUGCUAGUGGUCCCUUUCUAUUUUGCGAUUUCAACUUAGUUGGAGCUCUUUUUUGAGAUAAAAAACGAGUAGCCGGUCUCCUAAUAGUGUACUCAUGACUUUAGGUAUUACUUUCUAUAGUAUCUGAAUUUUGCUUAGGCUCACCAACAAGAUUACCACUAUUUUUUUGCUCUGGUUUUGAGGCUUUUGCACCCUACUCGAGAAUUACAGAAUUUGGACACUGCUUGUUUAUAUAUGUUAUAUAUGGUAGUGCAAACCUUUUUUUACACUAAUAAAUUUUUUAUAUAGGAGUAGUGUUUUUCUUCAUUUAUUGUAAUCUAUUUGAAUAUUCUUAGACUAAACCUGAUUUUAGGAGCUUGUAUGUUGUCUAUAUUAAGCAAUAUUUCAUCACGUAAAAUUCCUAUAUAUUUCUACUAGUUUUGGCAUCAUGUUCUUGCAGGUUGAAUUCGAAACAGAACUUAAAGAAUUAGAAGAGCUGUUGCUUCAACCAGCAACUACAGUUCUUGCUGCUCCAGUCCAUGUUCCUUCAGGGAAACAAGCUGCUAAGCCCAUUCCUUAGAAGCGUACAGCUGAAGAAGAUGAACUUGCUGAAUGAAGUAGCUUUUUGAUGAAGUGUAUGUACCCUCUUAGGAUGUGUCUUGCUCGAGUGCUGGAUCAAACAAUAAAGCACGUGCCUGUGCUAAACUCCCAUGUCUUGAAAUGGGCCUUGACGAGAUUGCUUUCCUUCUUGCUUUGCCCGCACCUAUCCUUUGGUGUUACAACCUUAGUUCCACCUAGCUGACUUCAAAUAAAAUAUUCCACUCAGGAAUAAAGAACCUGGAAAUAGAUUUUAAUUGUUUUAAUGAGAAGGUCUGAGACAAGGCUCUUAUAGUUAAGUAUAUGAGCUCUCAUGAUCAGAUAGUGUAUGUCCUCACUAAAGCUCUACCACAAGCAUGCAACAAGAUGCUGAGAAGUAAGUUGACAUUGUUCGUACAUCUUUCUUAACUGGAUGGGUCCUGUAAAGGAUAAAUGUACUUUAACUAUAACUAGGAUAGAUUAUUAGAAGGAUUAUAUAGCUAUGUAUCAUUUCACUUUCUAUAUUCUAAUUAAGUUAAGAUACUUGGAUCCGCAUGAAUCACUUCUGUAAGUAUUCGUUUGUAUCUUCAUUGACAA